rnacentral:lncRNA from 1 species
UAGCCAUUGGAUUUUUGUGGACAGUUACCCCUUCCCCAUUUCCUAGGCUAAGUGCUCGCACAUGUAUAAGAGGGAUGGGCUGGUAAAGUACAUGGAUGCUGAGGCCACUUCUACUGAUAUCCUAAAAUGAUGGUAGCAGUACUAACCUGAAUGAGAUUUUUUGUUGUUGUUGCAUAUCUCCCUGUACCUUUAUAGAUCUCUGCUUAAAACCAUUUCCAUAAUGGUUUUAUUAAUGCUCCCUAGACAUAGAGGGAAAUUGAGACCCUCUGAGGUUAAAGUUGUGGCUUCAGGUCAUAGAUACAGCAAUAGCAGCAUCAGGUCUAGACUUCAGUUUAUCUCGCUCUGCAUCGGUUCCCCAGGUUGUCACAUCCGGGGAUUGUCACAUUCGGGGAUCGUCACAUCCGGGGAUCUCAAUACACUCUUUUCCGAGCCGCCAUGCUGUGCCUUUUCUCUAAGUUGUGGUUCACUAACACCCACCACACAGGUCUCAGGUUCUGAGUAUUCCAGGAGGACCUUUCCUUGGCAUGUCUUCACUUAACUCCUUGAAAACCGAACGUCCUCUUGGAGUUUUGAACAAGCACCAGGUGAUUGAUUGAGUGACUUAUAAUUAUAAAAACUUUGGAGAAAUUACUUUCCAGAGUAAAAAAUUGAUUGGAUGGAUUUAAAGACUCAGAAUCACCUGUAUGUCUCCACACGUGGAAUAACCAGGUGCAUGGUCACUGAAAGUGACUUAGAAGUUACUGAGUGCACUAGGUUAACUUGACAGUUGACCUGGGAAUUCAGGAGCUGCACCACCUUCACAUUCGCCGGAUGUCACGUGCUAGAAUACCCGCCGGAUAUCACGUGAUCCCUGCCGGAAGUCGCAGGGAUGCCUUAGCCAAGCCGUGCUCCACAGGUGUGCCGCCAACCAGCACACAUGUAUUGUUCAGAGCCAAUCAGGGUCUGACGAUGUUUGCAGCGGCUGCUGUGUCAAGGUGGGCCACGGAGAACCCACGUGUUUUCUGCACCCGACCAGCUAGUAAGUAACCGUCGCUCCUGUACCACUUCUAGGUGGGUGUCCCCAGCCAUCAGGAGAAUCAUUUUU